UACGUAGGGUGCGAGCGUUAAUCGGAAUUACUGGGCGUAAAGCGUGCGCAGGCGGUUCGUUGUGUCGGUGGUGAAAUCCCCGGGCUUAACCUGGGAAUGGCCAUGGAAACUGGCGAACUGGAGUGUGGCAGAGGGGGGUGGAAUUCCGCGUGUAGCAGUGAAAUGCGUAGAGAUGCGGAGGAACACCGAUGGCGAAGGCAGCCCCCUGGGCUAGCACUGACGCUCAGGCACGAAAGCGUGGGGAUCAAACAGG
rnacentral:rRNA from 1 species